rnacentral:rRNA from 1 species
UACGGAGGGUGCAAGCGUUAUCCGGAUUUACUGGGUUUAAAGGGUGCGCAGGCGGAUAUGUAAGUCAGUGGUGAAAUCUCUCGGCUUAACCUGGAAAUUGCCGUUGAUACUAUAUAUCUUGAAUGCUGUGGAGGUAAGCGGAAUAUGUCAUGUAGCGGUGAAAUGCUUAGAUAUGACAUAGAACACCUAUUGCGAAGGCAGCUUACUACGCAGAUAUUGACGCUCAUGCACGAAAGCGUGGGGAUCAAACAGG